CGAAGCGAGAGAACGUUGCCGCAGGCAACGGCCCGAAGGGCGAGGAGCGAUAGCGACGAGUUAUCCUUCCCCCACCACUG
rnacentral:sRNA from 1 species